AUUAAAGGGCGGACGCCUGCCCAGUGAAUAUUAAACGGCCGCGGUACCCUAACCGUGCAAAGGUAGCAUAAUCAUUUGUCUAUUAAUUGUAGACCUGUAUGAAAGGCAAAAUGAGAGCCCAACUGUCUCUUAUAACAAAUCAAUAAAACUGAUCUUCUAGUACAAAAGCUAAAAUACUGACAUAAGACCAGAAGACCCUGUGAAGCUUUAACAAACCCAUUAAAUCUAAUAAUGAUUACUUUCGGUUGGGGCGACCUUGGAAUAAAAAAGAACUUCCAAUAUAUGACUACUCAUAAAAGAGGCAAACAAGCCUACAUUAGAUCCAGCAUAGCUGAUAAUUGAAAUAAGUUACUCCAGGGAUAACAGCGCUAUCUUCUUUAAGAGCCCAUAUCAAAAAGAAGGUUUACGACCUCGAUGUUGGAUCAGGACAUCCCAGUAAUGCAUCCGUUACUAAAGGUUCGUUUGUUCAACGAUUAACAGUCCUACGUGAUCUGAU
rnacentral:rRNA from 1 species